UACGUAGGGGGCAAGCGUUGUCCGGAAUCAUUGGGCGUAAAGCGCGUGUAGGCGGUUCGGUUAGUCUGCUGUGAAAGUCGGGGGCUCAACCCUCGAAUGCCGGUGGAUACUGUCGGGCUAGAGUGCGGAAGAGGCGAGUGGAAUUCCUGGUGUAGCGGUGAAAUGCGCAGAUAUCAGGAGGAACACCAAUUGCGAAGGCAGCUCGCUGGGACGUUACUGACGCUGAGACGCGAAAGCGUGGGGAGCAAACAGG
rnacentral:rRNA from 1 species